UCCAAGCUAAAAGUCUUUUUAAUCUUUCAUGUCAUAAACGAGUGCCGGAAACUAAAAGAAUGAUAGAGGAUAUUGGUCCAAGGUUUGUGUACAUUUCUCUGACGAUGAUUCUUUUGCAAAUAUUUGAUUCUAUACCAAGGAACGAUAUAAAAUCGGAUUUUCGUGCGCGACAAAGUUUUCGAGAUUAGAUACAAUAUCCGAUGUCGGGAUCUGCAUAAGAGAUAAGAAGAAGGUCCUAUACUUUUGUUGUGAUAUAAAAUAGCGACAGGAACGAAGGUGCGAACGAGCAUGAAUCUUUUCAUGGUGAACGAUCUCUUUGUGAAUUACCUGGACAUGGUGACAACCACAGGAAGAUAAUCUAACUACGCGCUUCCGCAAACUGUUAACGUACAUUUAUAGUUCCCAUGAAUAUGGAAAUAGUGUAUUAUCGAUCGCGGAAGGUGUUCGAUGAGUCGUGAGACGAAAGUAAUCAACUAGUAUAUUUCUGGUAUUUCAAGGUUGUCGUUGUCGUUAAAAAUAAUAAAGUUAGUAUCGAAAAA